rnacentral:misc_RNA from 1 species
GGAAGUAAAAGUCUAACAAGGUUUCCGUAGGUGAACCUGCGGAAGGAUCAUUAAAGUUAUAGUCCCCUGGCCCUCUGGGCUGGGGUCUUCUAUACCACCCUUUGUUUAUUACACCUUUGUUGCUUUGGCAGGCCUGCCCUCGGGCUGCUGGCUCCGGCCGGCUCGCGUCUGCCAGAGGACCUAAACUCUGUUUGUAUAUGAAGUCUGAGUACUAUAUAAUAGUUAAAACUUUCAACAACGGAUCUCUUGGUUCUG